UACGUAGGGUGCAAGCGUUUAAUCGGAAUUACUGGGCGUAAAGCGUGCGCAGGCGGUUUGUAAGACAGAUGUGAAAUGCCCGGGCUUAACCUGGGAACUGCAUUUGUGACUGCAAGGCUAGAGUUUGGCAGAGGGGGUAGAAUUCCACGUGUAGCAGUGAAUGCGUAGAUAUGUGGAGGAAUACCGAUGGCGAAGGCAGGUCUCUGGGCCACUACUGACGCUGAGAAGCGAAAGCAUGGGGAGCGAACAGG
rnacentral:rRNA from 1 species